rnacentral:rRNA from 1 species
AUUGAACGCUGGCGGCAGGCCUAACACAUGCAAGUCGAGCGGAUGAAGGGAGCUUGCUCCUGGAUUCAGCGGCGGACGGGUGAGUAAUGCCUAGGAAUCUGCCUGGUAGUGGGGGAUAACGUCCGGAAACGGGCGCUAAUACCGCAUACGUCCUGAGGGAGAAAGUGGGGGAUCUUCGGACCUCACGCUAUCAGAUGAGCCUAGGUCGGAUUAGCUAGUUGGUGGGGUAAAGGCCUACCAAGGCGACGAUCCGUAACUGGUCUGAGAGGAUGAUCAGUCACACUGGCACUUAGACACGGUCCAGACUCCUACGGGAGGCAGCAGUGGGGAAUAUUGGACAAUGGGCGAAAGCCUGAUCCAGCCAUGCCGCGUGUGUGAAGAAGGUCUUCGGAUUGUAAAGCACUUUAAGUUGGGAGGAAGGGCAGUAAGUUAAUACCUUGCUGUUUUGACGUUACCAACAGAAUAAGCACCGGCUAACUUCGUG